rnacentral:lncRNA from 1 species
UAAGGAGUUAGCUUGCUAGAGGUCUGGUGUUCAAAUCUCGGUAUGAGUGUGGGUGAUAUUUUUGUUUUGGUUAGAUGAAAGAAAGUUUGGAUGGGAUUGAAAGUCUGAGUGAGUAGGUAGUUGAGAUUGAGUUGUUAGUGGGGAGUCGGGAUUUAUCUAAAUUUGAUUUUAUUUUUGGGGUUUUUUUUAAAAACAAACAAUUUUCAAUCUCUCUUCCUAAUUCUCUUUGACGUUCUUUUCUAUGUCCCUUUCCCAUAAAAAGUUUCUUCUUUCUUUUUUUCCUAUUCUGUCAAUCUUUUGUUCCAAAUCGCUGUGAUAUGAACCCUUGGUCUUUCCGUGUGUUUAGGUAAGCGAAGGGGGUGAGUUCUUGUUUUUUUUUUUGGUAACAGUUUGUGAUAAUAUUUUUUGAUGUUACUAUUCAUAGUUUGAUUUUUAACUUUUUUACAGCAGUGAAUCGUGAGGAACGAGACUCUCCUAUCACAGAAUCGUAGUCGGAAUCAUUCAGGGUAGUGGAUAAGUGAUGAACACUUGAAUUAAACCAUUGUCGAUUUUGUUGGUUCAGUUUAAUUUAGUAUUAAAACUGAUUUUGGGAGUUUG